AAUCCACAACUUAUGAAAUAACAACUGAAUGUAAUCAAAUCAUAUUGCAAGCAUGUACAUGGUCUCGAAUCACCCCCCAACUAAGGGGGUUUAGUUCCUCAUACUCACAACACAAAGUUUAUUGAAUUGAAACAUUGAAAACAUAAGAAAGAUUACACCUAAAAGUUCCAGCAAUCUGUAAUAGACUAGCAAGCACGUUCAAGGGCACUCCUUCUUCCUUCUUGUUGCGGCACCAAGUAUGGAGAUGGUUUGGGAUGGUUUUAGAUGAUGGAGAAUGGUGGAAAAGUGUCUAGGAUGGGUGUAUGGCACGGCUAGGGGGGUUUGGGGUCAGAAAAUAUGGAUUUGGGUGGAGGAUGGGCACGGCAAGAGGUGAGAGAUGAAAUCUGGCGUGAAUGGAGUUGUAUGGAUGUGUGUGGAAUGUUUUGUGGCUGCAACAAGGAGGUUUAUUUAAAGGAAAACAGAAAUUAAAACCCUAGGUUGAUUAGGAAAUCAGAAAUUAAGUCUAAGGAUUCUAGAAUUAGGAAAUAAAUCAGAAAAUUAAAGGAAAGGGCAAGGGAAAUUCGGCUAGGGUUUAAAACACAAAAGGAAGGUGUUUUAAAGCAUAAAAACAGGAAAUAAGGAAGAGGAAAUUCAAAGGGGGGUGCGGCAAGGGUUCAAAAGGGUUCUAGGCUUUUGUUUUGUGUCCUAAAAUGCUUAGAAAGUCUUCAUAAUUGCUGGAACUUUUAGGGACAAUUAGGAAAAAUCAAACCAAAGUAGGAAAUUGGCUUAACUUUCCUACUUCAAGUAGGAAUCCUUAUUGGAGGAGGAAUCCUUGUUCUUCUAGGAAUCCUCAUGUGAUUAUGAAUCCAUCUUCAAUUAGGAAUCCUUCGUUGAUUAGGAAUCCUUCGUCGAUUAGGAAUCCUCCUUCAUGUAAGCACUUUCCUACUUCAACUAGGAAACCUUGUUCAAGUAGGAAUCAUCAUCUUCAAGUCUUCAAAUUCGUCCAAACCUUGGCUCCAAUUAUGUGAUAAUCAUUCCAAGCCCAAUUUUGCUCCAAAAAGCUCCAAAAUGCAUCUUCUGGCAUCAUUUGGCCUUAAAACCUGAAAACACAUAAAACUAGCUUAAAAGACUACUUUAACUAAGAAAACACCAUGGAAAUGCAUAAGUGUUGGAAAUGUGCCCUAAAGCCAAUCAUAUGAUUAUACUUUACGUACAUUUCACAUGUUAAACUAAUCUAGUUUAAUAUAAAGGGCAAAUAUUAUUGUUUGAGCCGUCUCAUAUAAAUGUUAUAUGCUUAAACGAUAAAGUCCA
rnacentral:lncRNA from 1 species